rnacentral:rRNA from 1 species
AGAGUUUGAUUCUGGCUCAGGAUGAACGCUGGCGGCGUGCCUAACACGAUGCAAGUCGAACGGAGUUAUAUUAUGAAGUUUCGGAUGGAAUAAGUAUAACUUAGUGGCGGACGGGUGAGUAACGCGUGGGUAACCUGCCUCAGUACAGGGGGAUAACAGCUGGAAACGGCUGCUAACACCGCAUAAGCAUACAGCAUCGCAUGAUGCAGUGUGAAAAUAGUUAAUAGGUAUGAGAUGGGCCCGCGUCUGAUUAGGCUGGUUGGUAAGGUAACGGCUUACCAAGGCGACGAUCAGUAGCCGGCUUGAGAGAGUGACCGGCCACAUUGGGACUGAGACACGGCCCAAACUCCUACGGGAGGCAGGCAGUGGGGAAUAUUGCACAAUGGGGGAAACCCUGAUGCAGCGACGCCGCGUGAGUGAAGAAGUAUUUCGGUAUGUAAAGCUCUAUCAGCAGGGAAGAAAAUGACGGUACCUGACUAAGAAGCCCCGGCUAACUACGUGCCAGCCGCGGC